rnacentral:misc_RNA from 1 species
GAUGAAGAACGCAGUGAAAUGCGAUAAGUAAUGUGAAUUGCAGAUUUCAGUGAAUCAUCGAAUCUUUGAACGCACCUUGCGCCUUGUGGUAUUCCACAAGGCAUGCCCGUUUGAGUAUCAUUAAAUCAUCAACUCUAAAACCUUUGUGGUUUUUUUAGAGCUUGGUCUUGAGGGUUUUGCAGGCUUUUUUUUUUUCGAGUCUGCUCCCUUUAAAUGCAUUAGCGAGACUUCCCUAUGCUGAACCGUCUCUUUGACGUGAUAAUUAUCUGCGUCGAAUUUUGGUUCUCGUUGGGCUUGCUUCUAAUCGUCUGUUAAAGACAAAACGGAUUUGGGUGCAUAUAUGCGCCUUUUUCCAAAACCUUUUUUGAUCUCAAAUCGGGUAGGACUACCCGCUGAACUUAAGCAUAUCAAUAAGCGGAGGA